UUUUGCAUGUACCUUAUGAAUAAGGACCGGCUAAUUCCGUGCCAGCAGCCGCGGUAAUACGGAAGGUCCGGGCGUUAUCCGGAUUUAUUGGGUUUAAAGGGAGCGUAGGCCGGAGAUUAAGCGUGUUGUGAAAUGUAGACGCUCAACGUCUGCACUGCAGCGCGAACUGGUUUCCUUGAGUACGCACAAAGUGGGCGGAAUUCGUGGUGUAGCGGUGAAAUGCUUAGAUAUCACGAAGAACUCCGAUUGCGAAGGCAGCUCACUGGAGCGCAACUGACGCUGAAGCUCGAAAGUGCGGGUAUCGAACAGGAUUAGAUACCCUGGUAGUCCGCACGGUAAACGAUGGAUGCCCGCUGUUGGUCUGAAUAGGUCAGCGGCCAAGCGAAAGCAUUAAGCAUCCCACCUGGGGAGUACGCCGGCAACGGUGAAACUCAAAGGAAUUGACGGGGGCCCGCACAAGCGGAGGAACAUGUGGUUUAAUUCGAUGAUACGCGAGGAACCUUACCCGGGCUUGAAUUGCAGAGGAAGGAUUUGGAGACAAUGACGCCCUUCGGGG
rnacentral:rRNA from 1 species